GGAGGACUGGUUCUCCAUCUUUUUUUAACACAAAACAGAGAUGAAAGAAAAUGCCCAUUUUAAUUAUGAUAAACAAUAAACUUCAUUUUGGAAGAAAAAUGUUUGAACAUUACGAACAAUUAAUCAAAACAUGGACAACACAUACUACGAUAAAUCAUAUAUGUCUCUCACUAUGGAUUUGGAACUAUCCAAAAAGAUGGAGAACCAGUCCUCCCUAAACCAAAGGCAUAAAAUGGUUUCGUAAUCUUCUCUUCCAGGCUAAAC
rnacentral:misc_RNA from 1 species